CAACUGAACGAAUCACUCCCACGAGACGACUCGUUCUUCCCGAGUCACAUUAAAGAUUCGUUCAAAAACGACCCAUCACUAAUGGGGACCCGAGGGAAGGAAGAAACCUGGAAGUGGCUGGCAUCUUUGUUUACUUUUUCCGUGUGAACUCAUGGCGGUGAAUUUUUGUCUUUCCUGAAGGAACAAAAAAGAAAGGUAUGCUGCUGAGUGGAGAUUUUGUAAUCAUGUGCUCCACUGUCAACUGGUGAUAAUUCAACAAUAAAGGUGACAGUGGGCAUAGGCGAGCAGAAGCAGAGAGCGGAUUGGCGAGCAGAAUCAGAGAGCGGAUCGGCGAGUGGAAGCAGAGAGCGGAUCGGUGAGCGGAAGCAGAGAGCAGCGGUAUCUGCCACAGGCACAUAGCCCUUCGCAAGCACCCAAGCAAGUUCACCUGAGGUAAAUCCGGCAGCUGACCAGUAGAAAUAAUCUGGCA